rnacentral:misc_RNA from 1 species
UUUCCGUAGGUGAACCUGCGGAAGGAUCAUUAUGGUAUAACCUAGCUGCGAGGGCUGUCGCUGACCCGAAAGGUCGUGCACGCCCGAGUGCCCUCACACACAUCCAUCUCACCCCUAUGUGCACCACCGCGUGGGUCCGCCUUUGGCUUGUUCGGAGGGGGGCUUACGUUUGCACACAAUCUUUGUAUGCAGUGUAGAAUGUAUUUUUCGUUGUUGCGAUCACGCAAUCAAUACAACUUUCAACAACGGAUCUCUUGGCUCUC